ACCCCCUGCAAGGCAGCGUCCCUGUAAACGGUCCCGUGGAGACCAAAGUGUGGGACCGCGUCAUCCACGUCAGGGACGGUCACGUGGUCCCUCUAGGGGCACGCGGCACCGUGAUAGGCCUGCAGCCAGCAGCCCAGCCCUCCGACUUCCUUUACGACGUGGCUUUCGACGAAGCCUUCGCCGGGGGCUUGACACUAGCGGGCCCCGCGUCUGCCCACCGCUGCUACAGACUCCGCUGGUCUGCCUUCGUCAACCUCUCCACCGAACCUCCCAACCCGGAAGAGCAAUGGCCCCUGACGCAGUCCAGACUAUCGGUUCCCGAGGCUCGACGGGGGAAUGUGGAGACUGAUCAUCUGCAGCAAGGCCAGCCUCUUGCAGGAGGGACUUUCUCUCACUGCUACUACUCCAGCUGUGGGGAAGACGUCUCGGGUGAACGGAGAACGUGGAAUAGCGGCCGUGGGGAAGACGUCUUGGGUGAACGGAGAACGUGGAAUAGCGGCCGUGGG